GACGAACGCUGGCGGCGUGCUUAACACAUGCAAGUCGAACGAAGAGCGAUGGAAGCUUGCUUCUAUCAAUCUUAGUGGCGAACGGGUGAGUAACGCGUAAUCAACCUGCCCUUCAGAGGGGGACAACAGUUGGAAACGACUGCUAAUACCGCAUACGAUCUGACCUCGGCAUCGAGGAUAGAUGAAAGGUGGCCUCUACAUGUAAGCUAUCACUGAAGGAGGGGAUUGCGUCUGAUUAGCUAGUUGGUGGGGUAACGGCCCACCAAGGCGAUGAUCAGUAGCCGGUCUGAGAGGAUGAACGGCCACAUUGGGACUGAGACACGGCCCAGACUCCUACGGGAGGCAGCAGUGGGGAAUCUUCCGCAAUGGACGAAAGUCUGACGGAGCAACGCCGCGUGAGUGAUGACGGCCUUCGGGUUGUAAAGCUCUGUUAAUCGGGACGAAAGGCCUUUUUGCGAAUAGUGAGAAGGAUUGACGGUACCGGAAUAGAAAGCCACGGCUAACUACGUG
rnacentral:rRNA from 1 species